rnacentral:rRNA from 1 species
AGUGAACGCUGGCGGUAGGCCUAACACAUGCAAGUCGAACGGCAGCACAGUAAGAGCUUGCUCUUACGGGUGGCGAGUGGCGGACGGGUGAGGAAUACAUCGGAAUCUACUUUUUCGUGGGGGAUAACGUAGGGAAACUUACGCUAAUACCGCAUACGACCUACGGGUGAAAGCAGGGGAUCUUCGGACCUUGCGCGAUUGAAUGAGCCGAUGUCGGAUUAGCUAGUUGGCGGGGUAAAGGCCCACCAAGGCGACGAUCCGUAGCUGGUCUGAGAGGAUGGUCAGCCACACUGGAACUGAGACACGGUCCAGACUCCUACGAGAGGCAGCAGUGGGGAAUAUUGGACAAUGGGCGCAAGCCUGAUCCAGCCAUACCGCGUGGGUGAAGAAGGCCUUCGGGUUGUAAAGCCCUUUUGUUGGGAAAGAAAAGCAGCAGGUUAAUACCCCGCUGUUCUGACGGUACCCAAAGAAUAAGCACCGGCUAACUUCGUG